rnacentral:rRNA from 1 species
AAUAGAUACCCGGGUAGUCCAUGCCGUAAACGUUGGGAACUAGAUGUAGGGCCUGUUCCACGGGUUCUGUGUCGUAGCUAACGCAUUAAGUUCCCCGCCUGGGGAGUACGGCCGCAAGGCUAAAACUCAAAGGAAUUGACGGGGGCCCGCACAAGCGGCGGAGCAUGCGGAUUAAUUCGAUGCAACGCGAAGAACCUUACCAAGGCUUGACAUAUAGAAGAACACUGCAGAGAUGCAGGACUCUUUGGACACUUCUAUACAGGUGGUGCAUGGUUGUCGUCAGCUCGUGUCGUGAGAUGUUCGGUUAAGUCCGGCAACGAGCGCAACCCUCGUCCUAUGUUGCCAGCGGGUGAUGCCGGGAACUCAUGGGAUACUGCCGUGGUCAACACGGAGGAAGGUGGGGAUGACGUCAAAUCAUCAUGCCCCUUAUGUCUUGGGCUUCACGCAUGCUACAAUGGCCGGUACAAAGGGCGGCGAUACCGUAAGGUGGAGCGAAUCCCAAAAAGCCGGUCUCAGUUCGGAUUGGGGUCUGCUAACG